GGUUACACUGAAGGCAAAGCCUGAAGCUGGAGGCUAGCUAAAUCUCAAAUGACGACAGAAAGAGGUAAAAUUCACACCUGUUCUAAUAGGUAGGUUGCUAGAAAACCAUAGGAAUAAACAAGGAUUAGAUACCCUUCUAUUUAUGGUAAAUAAUAUCAGAGGAGUAUGUGGUAUAAUAUGAAACUCAAAAGGUUUGGCGGCACUUGGUUUUAUCAGAGGAAUUUACCCAUUAAUUCGAUAUGCCCCGAAGCACCUUACCUAGAUUUAAGCUUGUAUACCGUCAUCCUGUGAGGUUUAGAAGAAAAGCACAAGUAGGGAGACAGAGAGGUUAGACCCAGGUGCAGCUUGUCAAGGGUAGGGCGAGUUACAAUUUAUAUUUAACUGGACUUUGAUUUAAAUAACAAGAGAAAGAGGAUCUGAGAGUAACUUAAGUUUAGUAAGCUUUAGUGGAAUUACCCCAAGUGUGUACA
rnacentral:rRNA from 1 species